rnacentral:rRNA from 1 species
AGAGACCUCAAGCGUUAUCCGGAAUCAUUGGGCGUAAAGCGUACCGAUAGGUGGUUUACAAAGUCAGAAGUGAAAUCUUCAGGCUCAACCUGGAGAAUGUCUUUUGAAACUUGUAAACUAGAGGGGCAAAGAGGAAGCUGGAACAAACGGUGUAGUAGUGAAAUGCAUUGAUAUCGUUUGGAACACCAAUAGCGUAGGCAGGCUUCUGGGUGCCACCUGACACUGCUAGGACGAGAGCGUGGGGAGCGAUAAGGAUUAGAUACCCUUGUAGUCCACGCUGUAAACGAUGAUGAUUAGGUGCUAGGGAGUAUCGACCCUUCUUAGUACCAUAGCUAACGCGUUAAAUCAUCCGCCUGGGGAGUACGGCCGCAAGGCUA